GUUUUGCGGAGUAUCCUUCCCAAGUUGCAGUAACCAGCGUGGGUGUGAAGGGACACGACAGUUCCUCUGCUGUACCAUGGGCGACCUACUUGUGAGGUGGACCUGAACCUCCGCCAUGUAGCAGACACCCCCCUCAGGUCUUGCGGAGUAUCUUUCCCAAGUUGCAGUAACCAGCGUGGAUGUGAAGGGACACGACAGUUCCCCUGCUGUACCAUGGGCGACCUACUUGUGAUGUGGACCUGAACCUCCGCCAUGUAGCAGACACCCCCCUCAGGUCUUGCGGAGUAUCCUUCCCAAGUUGCAGUAACCAGCGUGGAUGUGAAGGGACACGACAGUUCCUCUGCUGUACCAUGGGCGACCUACUAUAAUACAAUUAUGGAUGGACGGACUGCCUGCCGACUGCCGACAC